AGGUGGUCUGAUGGUAGUGGGUUACCAGAACUUAUCAACAUCAGUGCCACUAACGUUGGUAUUCAACCCCCACUGCUAAAUUUGACUGGGUUUUU
rnacentral:Y_RNA from 1 species